GGUUAGAAUUGAUUUAUCAAGUUCAGUUUCGACCUGAAAUUAGACCCUUGGUCCUUACCU
rnacentral:tRNA from 1 species